rnacentral:tRNA from 1 species
GGCCUGAUAGCUCAACUGGUGGAGCACUGCACCGGUAUUGCAGAGGUCAAGGUUCGAAUUCGCAUUCAGGCCU